UACGUAGGGGGCAAGCGUUGUCCGGAAUCAUUGGGCGUAAAGCGCGUGUAGGCGGCUCGGUAAGUCUGCUGUGAAAGCCCACGGCUCAACCGUGGAAGGUCAUUGGAAACUGAAAGGCUUGAGUACAGAAGAGGAAAGCGGAAUUCCACGUGUAGCGGUGAAAUGCGUAGAGAUGUGGAGGAACACCAGUGGCGAAGGCGGCUUUCUGGUCUGUAACUGACGCUGAGGCGCGAAAGCGUGGGGAGCAAACAGG
rnacentral:rRNA from 1 species